rnacentral:lncRNA from 1 species
GAUCACCUAAUAAGAUCAAAAAAUCCAUGAAGAGAUGUGAUCUCGCAUCCUUUCAUGCGAAGUUUGAUCACCACACGCGCGUGCGAGGAAGAUUCCAGCAUCCGUUUGGCCAUUUGAUAAAUCUGAAAAAAUUUCAUAAAAAUCAUCAAAAAUAGCUUAUCAAAUAUGGAACAUUAUCACAAAAAAUCAUUCCAAUUUGAAAGUAUUUGAUCAGGAGAAGGACUCUCCAAAUCGUGGGGAGACGCAACGCUUCUGCGCGUGCAUGCCAGACAUCCUUCUUUUUUUAAUUUUUUCUUCACCCCAAAAAAUUCAAAAAAAAUACAUCUUAUGCUUUGAGAUGUACACCAGAGGAUGGAGGGUGAUAUGGGCUGCUACACACAUCUUAAUCCCACGCCAAAAGGACUCCUGCCCACGCCAACAUGCAUGCGCAAAAUUUGUUUUGCACCAAGAGUCCACAACUUGGACUCUUCAUAAUUGGCGUUAACAUGGGAUGUGGCACCCUAAUUUAGGCUGCUUUCAGGUGGCACGAUUUGACUCAAAUGCCCACCAAAUUGGGUUAGCAAAUUGGCAAGGGAUGAGAUCAAAUUGAUCUCCAGAGGAGCAAGGGUUUUCACACGUGCUAGCAUGCUUACAGGAAUCCUGAUUGAAUCCAAAAUUUCAAUCAAUCUUUUUCAAAAGGAUCCUUGGCCAAUUUUUAUAUGUGUGUGAUCCAUUGGGUUCCACAUCUAGCCAGCAGCAGGUCUGGAUGCAAGUUGAUCAAAUUUGAUUAGAUUCUAAUCUAAUCGAUUAAGAUCUAAUUGAGCUAACCCGAGCUCAACAAUUAAAAUUCUUUCUAAUCGGCGAUCGAAUUAAACUCUUUAAUUCGAUCAAAAACCUACAAAUCAAGAUUGACGUCUAGCAACAUAUCAUGACUACCCAGAAGUUGUGGAAUUUGGUGAAAAUACCAAAUAUACCCUUCAGUGACA